rnacentral:rRNA from 1 species
UGGGGAAUAUUGGACAAUGGGCGAAAGCCUGAUCCAGCAAUGCCGCGUGAGUGAUGAAGGCCUUAGGGUUGUAAAGCUCUUUUACCCGGGAUGAUAAUGACAGUACCGGGAGAAUAAGCCCCGGCUAACUCCGUGCCAGCAGCCGCGGUCAUACGGAGGAUCCAAGCGUUAUCCGGAAUUACUGGGCGUAAAGAGUUGCGUAGGUGGCAUAGUAAGUAGACAGUGAAAGCGUUCGGCUCAACCGAAUAUACAUUAUCUAAACUGCUAAGCUUGAGGAUGAGAGAGGUUAUUGGAAUUCCCUGUGUAGGAGUGAAAUCCGUAGAUAUAGGGAGGAACACCGAUGGCGUAGGCAGAUAACUGGCUCAUUCCUGACACUAAGGCACGAAAGCGUGGGGAGCAAA